UUUUUAGUAUAAGUAUGGCCCAUGCAAUAUUUAGGACAUAUUUGUACUAAAA
rnacentral:pre_miRNA from 1 species